rnacentral:rRNA from 1 species
UGGGAGACUGCCGGUGAUAAACCGGAGGAAGCGGGGAUGACGUCAAGUCCUCAUGGCCCUUACAUCCCGGGCUACACACGUGCUACAAUGGCCGGUACAGACGGACGCAAAGCCGCGAGGUGGAGCAAAUCCUAAAAAGCCGGUCUCAGUUCGGAUUGCAGGCUGCAAUUCGCCUGCAUGAAGUCGGAAUCGCUAGUAAUCGCAGGUCAGCAUACUGCGGUGAAUACGUUCCCGGGCCUU